GGCGAACGAAGCGGCAACAGCCCAAAUUUGAAAUCUGGCGUUUACUCGUCCGAGUUGUAAUUUGGAGGGAGGCUAAUUGUUGGUGGCGAGACAGACUAAGUGCCUUGGAACAGGCCGCCGCAGAGGGUGAGAGCCCCGUGAGUUUGUCUCUACUGAGCCAUCGACGCAGGCCUUCCUACGAGUCGAGUUGUUUGGGAUUGCAGCUCUAAGUGGGUGGUAUAUUCCAUCUAAGGCUAAAUAACAGCGAGAGACCGAUAGCAAACAAGUACAGUGAUGGAAAGAUGAAAAGAACUUUGAAAAGAGAGUGAAAUAGUACGUGAAAUUGUUGAAAGGGAAGGGUAUCUGAUCCGACGUGGUAUUUAGCCGUCGCCUGCCCUCGUGGCGGGCGCUCCGGCUGUUUACUGGGCCAGCAUGAGUUCUUUGCGGCAGGAAGCAAGGCGGGCGAAUGUAGCCCUCUUCCCUUUGGGAGGAGGGUGUUAUAGCGCGAUUGUCCUGAACUGCCCGCUGGGACCGAGGUCCGCGGCUUUCGAGCCUAGGAUGCUGGCAGAACGAGCAGAUACCGCCCGUCUUGAAACCACGG
rnacentral:rRNA from 1 species